UCUUUCUUCUUCCUCCCUCCCAACUUGAAGACCCCUCUGUGUCCUAGCAGCCGUCGACCAUCUCCUCUCAGCUGUCACUGUGCGUCCGACCGAGCGCCACCAGUUCGUCGGUCGUUCGUGGGCCGUCGUUCGCGCAGUCGAACCCUCACCAGCAAGCUGCGUUCGCUCGUGACCCAGGUCUCCGUCCCUCCUUGCGUCUCAGCCGCGCCACCCAGCGUUCUACUCGCCGAACAGCCCAGCUGCACGACCGUUGUUCCGCCCCAUUCGCUGACACCGGAAGUCGCCGCCCCAGCCCAGCCAGCCGUUCGCUCGCCCAGCCAAUCUCCCAGAUGCAAAGCUGCGCCAUGCUGCCGCUUGUCCAGAUCCUCCGUCUCAGAUCUCCUCUGCCACACGCCCUUCUGCACACCGACCUCACCAAAACUGUCGCCGUCAUCCACGUUCGUCCGGCAUAGCCCCGCCCCUGUCGUCAGAUCUGUUUGGUUGUGAUAUAAAAGGUUGGAAUUGAAGGUUCAAAGCAGCUGGAAUCGCCUUUGUUCUAGGAGGAAGAUUAUUUUGCUUGUCGCUUAGACAUAAUUUUGAGUAUGGGCAAGGACGCACUGGCGAAUGACAAGAGGAAUCCUUGAACGAGCCACUGGGGAGAGUAACAUACUUCCGCUCAUGAGAUUUAGAUUUCUUUUCAUGUUUUUCUUAACUUCCAGUUUUGAUAUUUAAAACUUACUAUUAAGAAUUGUUUUCAGACUUAUUCAUUAUCAUUUAUGAUUUAUGGGUA